rnacentral:misc_RNA from 1 species
UCUCGGCUUAUCACCGGCAGUCCCCUUAGAGUGCCCAACUUAAUGAUGGCAACUAAGGGCGAGGGUUGCGCUCGUUGCGGGACUUAACCCAACAUCUCACGACACGUGCUGACGACAGCCAUGCACCACCUGUGCACAGGCUCCGAAGAGCUGCCGUAUUUCUACGACAUUCCUGUGCAUGUCAAGCCUUGGUAAGGUUCUUCGCGUCGCGUCGAAUUAAACCACAUGCUCCGCUGCUUGUGCGGGCCCCCGUCAAUUCCUUUGAGUUUCAACCUUGCGGCCGUACUUCCCAGGCGGGACACUUAAUGCGUUAGCUGCGGCACCGACGGUAACCCGCCGGCACUUAGUGUCCAUCGUUUAGGGCGUGGACUAC